rnacentral:tRNA from 1 species
UCACUGGAGGACUAGUGGUUAAGCCACAGCGCUCUCACUGCUGUGGCCUGGGUUUGAUUCCUGGCCAGGGAA